GUAGCCGGUUUAGCAAAGUUCCUGGUGAAAUCUGGCAGCAAACUGUCAGGCGUGCUGGGAAUACUAUUAAACUUGAGAUUGGGACAGGUCAGAGGUAGUCCAUGUGUAGGGGUUAAAUCCUUUAAUCCAUGGAGGACCCACCGGUGGCGAAGGCGUCUGACUGGAACAAGUACUGACGGUGAGGGACUGAAAGCGUGGGGAGCAAAACGGAUUAGAUACCCGUGUAGUCCACGCUGUAAACGAUGUCCGUUUGAUGUGACAAAUCUUACGUGGAUUUGCUGUGUCGGA
rnacentral:rRNA from 1 species